UACAGAGGUCUCAAGCGUUGUUCGGAUUCAUUGGGCGUAAAGGGUGUGUAGGUGGCGCCGUAAGUCGGGUGUGAAAUUUCGGAGCUUAACUCCGAAACUGCAUUCGAUACUGCGGUGCUUUGAGGACUGGAGAGGAGACUGGAAUUCAUGGUGUAGCAGUGAAAUGCGUAGAGAUCAUGAGGAAGACCAGUGGCGAAGGCGGGUCUCUGGACAGUUCCUGACACUGAGACACGAAGGCCAGGGGGAGCAAAACGGGG
rnacentral:rRNA from 1 species